CGCGGAUCAGCAUGCCGCGGUGAAUACGUUCUCGGGCCUUGUACACACCGCCCGUCACACCAUGGGAGUCGGUAACACCCGAAGUCUGUAGCCUGACGCAAGAGGGCGCAGCCGAAGGUGGGAUUGAUGACUGGGGUGAAGUCGUAACAAGGUACC
rnacentral:rRNA from 1 species